CAAUCUCACUUUUUCUCCCACUUUAGAAUCUAGCCUUGCUUCCAGACCUCACAAUCAAGAAGAGGCAGGAAGGCAAGGGGACCGUCUUUGCUGUCUGGGGCUCACCGGUGAGUUUCAUUGCUCCCACCACACAGCUGAGCAGUGCGUUCCCCUAGCCCCUCCUACACGGGAGAGUGGAGUGGUCCAACACUUGAGGUCUAUAGAAACCCUCCCCCAAUACAGAGCUUAUGCUGGUCGCUUCUGGUCCUUGUUACCAUUUUUUAUCAUUGUAUCUCACACACGACGUUGGCUGAGCAUGAGAACUAGGUAGGUUUCGGCUCUGUAACAAGUAAGCUGUGAGCUCAGUGGCAGACCGAGGGCCUUCUCCCCGUCCACUCAAGGUAACCUGAUUACUACGGGCAGCUUCUGCUCCCUGCUCAGUCCACUGCUCCACUUUUCUCCAAAGCAAAUAGUAGAGCCGAUGCCUGGGGCGCACAUGCCAAGACUUCCGGCUCUCUUUGGAAGAUUGUUUUUUUUUUUUCUAGGCCUUCACGGCAAGUUCAAGGUCUGUCACAGACUAUGCAACUGUCCAGAAAGGGCAGCAGUUUUAGGAGACAAGUGAUUUAAAACAGGAAGGCCACCUGUUUCAAACUUCCUGCCAUGCUUGGCUGGGAUGCCAAACUAAAAGAGGAGUGCCACGUGGACCCGCCACUCGGCAGAGAAUGUCACCUGCCUUUUACGCUCACCCCCACUUCUCAAUCUGGUCUCUAACAGGACAUGUCUGUGUGUCAAGGUAUGGAUAAGGAGAGAGAAGAAUAUUCAUCUGUGCUCUUAUUGAUAAUCUAGACUUUUCUACCCAAAAUGACACCACUCUGUGCAGAAGUUGAUAAGCAUGACAGUUUAGGGGACAAAAGUCUAUACAUUACCUAUAGGAAAGUGCCAGCCAUGUUACCCUCAGAGUAAAACCCAGACAACUACCUCAUGCUAGGUGACCAGUUGGGACUAGUUGGGACCGGCUGGAUAAUCAGCAACAAGUUUCCUACAAGUAAUGAGCUGUCAGCUUCUCUGAGAAUCACGGGCCACUGGGAAUUAGCCAACCCAGGACUUAAUUCUGCAGAAAGAAAAUGCUGCGGUGGAUUGGGUUGCAAUCGUUUUAUCUUUGCAGGAGAGACAGGCUCCUGUGUCCAUCGCUGUCUCAAUGAGCGAUUUAAGGAAAACAACACAACCUCCUAAAAUGCCAAGACAGAGGCUACUUCUAAGUUUCCACAAUGCCCUGGGACCACUCUUCGUCUAGGCCUUCAUCAAAGGCUCCCUUCUCUUCCAGAAGAGGUGCAGCCCAGUCACCUUUCAGACUGGACCACUUGAGAGAAAUAUAGGGAGGAGAACAAGGAGCAUUCGACCUGACUCUAAAAUUUAAGUCUUGGAUUUUUGUUGCACAUGGGAGAAGGCAAGGUCUAGCCACAGAGACUGGCUCACCCCGGAGCUGAGCUCGAAGGACAAGUUCAUGAGUAUCAAAAGAUUUCAACUCAUUUCAAUCUGCCUGGUCUGCAGGACAGUCUUAAAAUGCCAAGGACCAUGACAUGUACCAAAAUGGCUGAGAUGUUUAUGGCCAUGUUAAUUAUGGAGAAGUAUUAUCUUAUUUACAGCCUCUCUUUCCCCAUAUGGCAAAAAGUCGAGGUUACAAAAGUAAAUAAGAAAGGUCAGAGCAGACUCAAGGCUUAUACAUGUUGCUGUGCAAUACUCAUUAGCUCUAAAGAUAGGAUUGACCCAGAAACCUCUCGUCAAGCUGGAAAUUGGCUGGCUUUGGGGAUAUUCUUGGGGUAUUAUUAGACUCCUCAGAAGCAAAACAGUGUAAGAGUCUGGGAGCCAUUGGCUAGAGUGCCUGGUGGCCAUAUUUGAAGUCUUGGCUUUGCCAGAUUAUCAACAGGACAAAUUUAUAUACUUCAUUUAACUUCUCCAGACCACAGUUUCCCCAUCUAUGAAGUGAGGAUAUUCGGAAAAGAAUUUUUGAGUGAAAAAAAAAUGAACUAAUACGUGCUUAGGACAGUUUUGAACACAUAAUAAACACUUUAUAAACAUCGGGUGGCUUGUAUAAUGAUAACAUUAAUAGCAAUCAUCAGCCUCGUCAUUUUUGAACCUCCACGGAGUAAACUGAGAACCAAAUUCAUUUCAAGCAGAGCCUCAGAUCUCUGUCAUCUGCACAGUUCUCCGGUUCCAGCUGCCAGAGCAGCCAAGCCUUAACCAAGCUUAUUCUCCACAGCUGCAGAAGUCUUGUUAUUGGAGGACUGGAAACCACCACUCCACCCCACCAGGUCCCUCACCUCUCCCCAACCACAUAGUGCCUGAGGCUGCCAAGCCCAGCGGAAGGGCACGCAUUCCCAAGCUCUGUGUGACCACAGGUUUUGCAUUGCCCACAGCCCAUGGCUGCUGUGCUGGGGCAGUAAUAGAUGGGAGAGCAGCCUGGCUGUAACAAAGCGUGACCACGGGGCUCUCUGUCCCGUGGGUUCCUUCAUACAGGGAUACCGCAAGGACUCCAAAGAUUGGGCCCUGAAACUUGGGGUAUAGGGACAGAAAAAGAAAAGAAGGAGACAGCUUUGGGAUUCUGAGAGGGUAAUGAAGCCCUGUAUCACACAGGAAGUUCUCCCAGCCUCGGGACUCCUAACAAGACCAAGGACUGCUCCACUGGCCCCUCUUGGAGAGCUGGCAGAGAACCAGGAAAGACAAACAAGGCAAACAUGGACUUGCUCAGCUAGAAGCGGGUCUUUCUUUUGCUCAGUGGUAGGACUCCCAGCAAACAACAAACGCUGCAAAAUUCGCCAUUUUUAUUGUAUAAUAGUGAUUAAACUUUGGGAAUAUUUCAAAUGUGCCAGCUAUGUGCUAAAAGUCUUGAAAACAUUAUCCCAGGUGGAUGCUGAGGAUUUCCAUAAGUCUCUGAGGCAUUAUGCCAUCUAGCAGGUGACCUACUGAGGCUUAGAGCAGUUCAGCAACUUGUUCAAGAUCACGGGAUUCAACAAGAUUGUGACUAACUUAAAAUUCAACAUCAGUCUAACAAUAACGUUCAGAAGAGUCUAGAGUACCCCUCAAGUCAUUUGCACCCACAGUACCACUCCAUAUGUGGCCACAGCAUUUCCAACACCACUGAACUGCCUUAUAAUGUACAAUAAAUAUAUACAUAUAUGUGUAUGUAUA